rnacentral:misc_RNA from 1 species
UGUCCAAACCAGUGUCAUAAUGUAAGACAUCGUCCCCUUGCCAAAAGUCAACAUUUCUCCAUGCAAAGUCUUCCAUUCCCCGCUAGCAAAAAGGCCAAUGAUAGAGACACAGGUGGCAACAAGUGAUAUGUAAAUCUGCAUUUCCAACACCACAGAAAAUGUCUCCUUUUUUAUGAUCUUUUGAAAGGACAGCUGCAUGAGAGAAAG